rnacentral:rRNA from 1 species
UACGUAGGGUGCAAGCGUUAAUCGGAAUUACUGGGCGUAAAGCGUGCGCAGGCGGUGAUGUAAGACAGUUGUGAAAUCCCCCGGGCUCAACCUGGGAACUGCAUCUGUGACUGCAUCGCUGGAGUGCGGCAGAGGGGGAUGAAAUCCGCGUGUAGCAGUGAAAUGCGUAGAUAUGCGGAGGAACACCGAUGGCGAAGGCAAUCCCCUGGGCCUGCACUGACGCUCAUGCACGAAAGCGUGGGGAGCAAACAGG